GACGAACCGUGCGAACGUUAUUCGGAAUCACUGGGCUUAAAGCGCGUGUAGGCGGGACGGCACGUCGGUCGCUGAAAGCCCCCGGCUCAACCGGGGAACGGGCGCCGAUACGACCGUCCUCGAGGGACGUAGGGGGACCUGGAACUUCCGGUGGAGCGGUGAAAUGCGUUGAGAUCGGAAGGAACGCCCGUGGCGAAAGCGAGGUCCUGGACGUUUUCUGACGCUGAGACGCGAAAGCCAGGGGAGCGAACGGG
rnacentral:rRNA from 1 species